GCUUCGCGCCACCGCGUCUUUUCUGCUUGCUUACGCUACUCUGCCACUAAAGCCACCCCGAUCGCGUUCAGCACGGCCACCGUAGCAAUGGCCUCCACACUGGUGCACGACCUGCAGCAGUUCCGCUACGUGACAGCCUUCACCUGCCCAGUGCCAUGGACGCAUGUGCGCCACGUCAGCAUCCCGGAGCUGCGUCACGAGGCGCCCGACCUCCCAUUCAUGGCGAGCCUGAUCUCUGCUCUCUCCGACUGCGACGUCUCUCUGCACGAAAUCCACGACCACAACGACGCCGACAUUCUUCAGCUUGUUCAGGUGCUUCAAGUAUGUCUGCAGUUCUCACUGUGGUCGCAAAACAUUCUCAAGGAGAAGCUGCUCGAAGUGCAGGCGACGCACGUCGCGAAGGGGGUAUCGGCGCAGCAGCUCGAGAACCUGGAGAGGCGCUAUCACGCGCUAGAGGGGGAGAUGGCAGCCCUGCAUAAGGAUCGGGACAUGCUCUCAUUGGGUACGGCAAACCUUCGCGCCUCCCUUCUGCAGAUGGAGAAGACGAUUAAGCGGCAGGAGCGGCAGCUGCAGCAGGAGCAGGGACGCAACGCACAGCUGGUGGCGAAGCUGGAGAAGGCGUUGUGCGCGCGGGCACUGGCGGCGCCGUUGAUGUCAGCACCGCGCUUACCUCCACCUCGAGAGUCGCAGCAACGUUCAGCUGGCAAUCGGCACGCAUCUGCGCCAACGCACCGCACAAAGAAAGCUGCCACCGUAUACCACUCUUCUCGGCUUCCCACGGGCAACGCAGAUGCGCACAGAGACAGCACCGCCUCUUUAACAAGCGAUACUUCGUACGGCGACAGUUGUCUGUCCGCCGAGGUCGCCGCCAGAGCACACUCUCACGUACCCCAGCCCUGCGGCAGUGUUGAUCCUCCGCCGCCCCCUUUCCUGGACUGGCGCACCUUGGUACGCUACAUCAUCCACGAGGAGCAGAGGACAUCCGCGUGGACCUCUACCCAUGCUUCUCCCACCGCUGCAAGGGCGACAGCCGAUGAGAGGCGCAUCGAAAGAAAGGCGGAGCUGAUGCCGGCGGCCCAGCACCCGAGCGAGCCGGCAGCGGCCCUGCCUGCCGCAGCCACGCCGCAAGUCUCGGAAGCGCAACUCGACUCCUUUUUUGCGGGACUCACCGCUGGUGUCACGACAGAAGUCGUCGCAUACUCCCGCGCAGUGGCGGCACGCGCCGAGGAGAUGGUGCGUGCCGCCACACAGCAACGGAUGCAAGAAACAGCAGAGGCGCAGCAGGCGCUGAUGGCGCAGGUGCAGACCGCGCUUGGCAGUCUCAGUGCUGAGCUAGCGGCGUACAAGCAGCAAAAGGACGCGACACCGUCGCCUGAUCUCAGAGCGGUCGCAAUGCCGGUCGCCGCAAGUGGCGCCUCCGACCCUCACGCGCAGCUCUCCCCGUUUUCUCCGGUGUUGGCGUUGUCGAAUGUGAGAAACUCCGCUGCCGCCGCGUUGCCGGCGCCCUCCCGACACGCCAGCAGCGCGCCCGUAACCCUGAACAACGCUCCGCCAACGAACGACUCGAAGCCGCUCUCACAGCCUCCACAGGCCUCCGCGUCGCCUCUUCCGCCGUCCAUCGACAGCUCGCCGCCGGCCUCGUUCUUGAACUCUUUCGUGACGUCCGGCGCGGCCCUGUGCCACUCCACGAGAGGCCGUGAGGCGCUCGAUAGCGGCUCGAAGACGCGAAAGCCUUUGCCGGACUUUUCACCCGAUAUUCUUCGCACGCCGCCCACCAGCGAGCACGGCGACGCUGCAGCGCCGUCAGGCGCCGGCAGCGACGGGCCACGCAGCGUCGUCUCCCGAGCAGAUGACGAAGACGAGCGAGACGUCGACGUGGACCUCCUACCGCUAGACAGCUCCUCGUCAGACUCGUCAUCGGGCUCCUCCCAGAGCUCCGACGGCAAGGCGGAUGGCGUUGCUGAAGUCAGCCACGCUUACCCUCGGGUGCUCGCGAAGCCGUCCUCGGCGCCUCCUAUGUACCCUAACAAGACCCCGACAGCAGCGGCCGUCGUGGUGCAGCCCGCAGCGCCACAGCACCCGUCCGCGAACCGCACGCUCAGCCUGCACUUCUCGACACGCUCUGACAUGAGUGAAGGCAGCUCCCACGGCUCGUCGCAGAUGCUGCGAGAAACACGCGCGCAACUUCAGGCGCUCUUAGAGGAGGAAGAAGCCGCGGGACGGGCAAAGACGCAUAGAUGAACCUCAGCAUAGUCGCGUGAGGGGGGAAGGGUAGCAGUGGUGAUGGUGGCGACUGGCACACGUGCCGUCGAAGCGCCGUUGCGUCGUUGUGUGGCUUUCGCUACUACUGUUCCGCCAUGCUCACGCCCGGGGUUGCUCUCGAGGCAUAGAGAGGAUAUUGAUCGACGGCGCACCUCGUGUGGCCCAUGUCUUGAAAGAGCUGCUUAGAAGACGCAGGCCACAAUGACAGACCAACCUCGCGCAGUCCUACACACGCGCACUCGCAGGUGGUGCAGCGAGAGCUGGCGCAAGGAUGGGGUAAGCAUAGGCCAGGCUUGUUCCCUCUCAAUGGCCUUUUUGGCCUCUUGGUUGGCUAGCUGAAUGCAUGGACGGCGAUGCCUGGCUGCAGAUGGGACUCACUCCCGCGCGCGUGCUGCCUGGCAAUGCCGUGUGCUCGCUCCUGUUAUUGCUGUGUCAUCACCGUGUAGCCCAUCUCCCCUCUCCGUCAUCUGUACCGCUAUUUCCUUUUGGAGGGCCUUCUCCCCGCCCGUGCUCACACGCAUAG
rnacentral:misc_RNA from 1 species